UACCAGCAGCUCAAGUGGUGAUCGAUAUUAUUGGGCCUAAAGCGUCCGUAGCCGGUCUGGUAAACCCUUGGGUAAAUCGGGCAGCUUAACUGUCCGAAUUCUGAGGAGACUGCCAGACUUGGGACCGGGAGAGGUCAGAGGUACUCCUGGGGUAGGGGUGAAAUCCUGUAAUCCUAUGGGGACCACCAGUGGCGAAGGCGUCUGAUCAGAACGGGUCCGACGGUAAGGGACGAAGCCCUGGGGCACAAACCGGAUUAGAUACCCGGGUAGUCCAGGGUGUAAACGCUGCAGGCUUGGUGUUGGGGGUCCUACGAGGGCACUCAGUGCCGUAGAGAAGUUGUUAAGCCUGCCGCCUGGGGAGUACGUCCGCAAGGAUGAAACUUAAAGGAAUUGGCGGGGAGCACCGCAACGGGUGGAGCGUGCGGUUU
rnacentral:rRNA from 1 species